GACGAACGCUGGCGGCGUGCUUAACACAUGCAAGUCGAACGGAAAGGCCCUGCUUUUGUGGGGUGCUCGAGUGGCGAACGGGUGAGUAACACGUGAGUAACCUGCCCUUGACUUUGGGAUAACUUCAGGAAACUGGGGCUAAUACCGGAUAGGAGCUCCUGCUGCAUGGUGGGGGUUGGAAAGUUUCGGCGGUUGGGGAUGGACUCGCGGCUUAUCAGCUUGUUGGUGGGGUAGUGGCUUACCAAGGCUUUGACGGGUAGCCGGCCUGAGAGGGUGACCGGCCACAUUGGGACUGAGAUACGGCUCAGACUCCUACGGGAGGCAGCAGUGGGGAAUAUUGCACAAUGGGCGGAAGCCUGAUGCAGCAACGCCGCGUGCGGGAUGACGGCCUUCGGGUUGUAAACCGCUUUCGCCUGUGACGAAGCGUGAGUGACGGUAAUGGGUAAAGAAGCACCGGCUAACUACGUG
rnacentral:rRNA from 1 species